AAGACAUAUGGUAGCAUCUACCUUAUAGGAGUGAGUUUAUAAAUAAAAUUAUCUUAGAAGUGUGUAGCACACACUUAGUACUCAGGAAAUGUUGACUGUUAGUAUUACUAUACUUAUUGUUACUAGGAGAAUGACCACAGCUUUCAUGAGGUUUUGUCAGUAGCUCUAUAAGAAAAGUAAGGAGGAAUUAUUCUAACUCAUGACUUGAGAAUGAUGAGCAAAGGGCUGAGCAGAAUGAAAGUGACCUCGUGGCAGAAGCUUCCUACCCUUUGGUGUCGUGAUGAUUCUGCACAAGCACACACAGACACACGUGGUAAUGGAGGACGUCACGAUCAGUCUCAGUGUUAACCUUCAAAGUUUCCCUCCAGGGGAGUGCUAAGCCCUGGACUGCAGCAAGCAGGCUGAGCGAAGUCCUUGGGUCUGCGAAGAGUACCUUCCUAGUUAUUCCAGGAAUCUUGCUGGUCCAUACUCGUCCCUUUAUCACCACCACGUGCCCGCAAUGAUGUGGUGAAGUCUUAGUCUCUGUCAGUGGUGGUUCAAGAUCCAAAACUGAAACCCGAGCAUCUGCAACCUCAGCUCCAGCCUUCCUACCUGCCGUCCUUCCUACGCAGAAGUUGGAACAUUCUCUGAAAAGGCAACUGGUCUGCGAUAAAUUCUGUGACAGCAAAAAUGAUUUUGAAGAGCAUCCUGGCUUUUAAAGGAAUUUUCUCACCCUCCCCCCCGCCUCCUCCUUUUUUUUCCCUCCUCUUCUUCAAAGAUUCUCCUCAUUACUGGGAAAUCCCUUCCGCACACUUGUUUUCUAUUUUUUUCCAUGGGAAAAGACUUCUCCAGUUCCACCAAUCAAAGCUAAAAGCUCUUACCUUAGGGGGAAAAAGAUCUUCAUCUCCAAGGGGGUUUUAAUGUAGGCUUUCUGCACCAUGUGGGUUAUAUAAGCAGUGACUGGAAACUUGCUUCCAUGCUCUACUCUACCUGUGCUGAUACACAGAACCAAGCCGCACUGUUAGCACUCACAACCAAAUUUCCACUUGCAACUAGUAAUUUUUCUGCCAGCAAACAUAUUUGACUGGGUUUAUCAGUGCUCAGGUGACUAGCGGUUUACUCCUACUGCAUCCGCUAUUAAAUAAGACACUAUUUCGUGGCUCAAAACAACUAUAAUUAGGUUUCAGUCUUUUUUUAAAAUUUAAUUUUAUUGGAGUAUAGUUGAUUUACAAUGUGGUAUUAGUUUCAGGUGUACAGCAAAGUGAAUCAGUUAUACGUAUUGAGUAGAUUUCCCUUUGCCAUACAGUAGGUUCUCAUUACCCAACUAUUUCAUACUAUACUGUGUAUGUUAUUCCCAAUCUUUUAAUAUUGAUGGUUGUUCAGCCCUUGGUUGUGUCUUUGGUGUGCUCAGUGAGAGGAGGUGACUCAAGGUCCUUCUACGCUGCCAUCUUGUCUCCCAAGCCUCUCAGAGAAACUAAAACUAAACAUGAAAGAAUCAUUCCUGUCGCUACACAUCAUUUGAACGCACCCACGGGGUACAACAUUUUUGCAUCUUGGUCAGUGAGCUGUAUCAAGUUUCAGAUGUACCACUGUAUAUGCUUCAGUUGUGAUUAUAAAGUAACUCCUUCUAACCUUCAAAAGCAUGCAGCUUUCCAAGCUGAGUUCCUGACCUGCUGUAAUUACCCCUGGACGGAGUCAGGGGUCCACAGGCCAUGCUGCCCCUGGCAAAUGAAGGAACCAUAUAGGCGUUCCAAGGGCAGCUCUGCAGAAAGUUUUCAAGAGGGUAAGUGGCUUUGACUGUGGAAGCGUCUGAAACUUUGGAGUCAAAUGCUUUCAAAACAGCUGUUUCCCAGUAGUUUGCAUAAGAGUAAAUUGCAUUUCCAAAAAGCACAUUCCUUUCCUUUUGAGGGCUUUUCUUUAUGGUGGAAUACUUAGCUGGAAGAAAGUACCAAAUCAAAGCCAAUUCAUGGAGCUGGGGAAAAAGCCUGCAUUUGUUACUCAGAUUGUCUUUGGCGUUUUCUUCCUACUGAAACUAUUGGAAUACAAAGACAGGGAGUGGCUAAAUUGUUGGGGAACCACUUUCAAUAGGCUUUAGCAAAUAUUUAACAAGGAACCAUGACAUAGACUCAGGAAAAUUGUUACAUAGUUUAAAAAUCAGCAAGAGAACAAUAGUCAAAGUGAUCUGAUUUUUGGAAGGAUUUCGGAGCUGACAGUAAAGCAUAAUAAGGCUGACUUUUAGAGAGAGGAUGAGCAGAUAAUUAGCUGUGGGAGGGAGGGGCCGAGAUUGGAAGAAAUCACACUCCUGGCUGGGGUCCCACCCCUGCAGUGGGGAGGGAACCGAAGGCCACGUGAGGUAAAGGUUCUAGAGAACAGGGAAAGUCCGCAGUCCACAGUGAGCUGGGGGUAGAUUAAAUUGGGUAGAUUAUACCGUAAAAGAUCUUUGGCACAGGACCAAAUACAUGUAACAUUCUAUGCUGCACACGGUGAAUUUAAAACAAGCACACUUUUAAACGCUCUGAAAGAUAACCAAAACAACCCAGCAGAUGGAUCAAUUUACAACUCAAGAAGGCAAGAGAGUAAGAGCCAACCUAUUUAAUCCCCACUGCUCAGCACCAAGACAUUUUCUGGAUGGUGUUUAUGGGGAGAACGAGCCAUUCAUUAGAAAGUACCAUAUACAUAGCUGGGGUAGCAGAGUAAAAUAAAAAGUCAGUGUUUUUCGAUAAGUAAAGAAUAAGAUGAUUUAUACCUGCUGUGGGGAACAGCAAGGUGCAAGGGCCCGGGGCACGGGGAGACCGGCGGGGACAGACUGUGGCUGGGGUGGACAGGUGGGGCUAGGGAGCAGGAUGGCAUCAGGAGGAUAGGGCCUUAUCACUGUUUAAAGAACCAAUGGUUUUACUCUGAGAAUGAUGAGCAGGCACUGAGCAGCUUUGCACCAUGUUGUGAUCACAACUUCCUGACAAAGAACCAUGCCAGGUGCAGUGUAGACAUUAUGGGCAUGGGUGGCAACUGGGGCAGGAUGAAGGUGAUGGCGGCUUGGACCAGAGCCUCUUGUGGAGGUGGUGCAAGGCUGUCUGCACCCACUAGAUCCGCUGGGAGAACUGGAUGCUCUGAGAUGCCAGGAAAGGAGGAGGCAAAGGUGCUGCUAAGGUUUUGUCCUUGACCAGUGAGAAGGACUGUCGUUGGCUGGCACAGGGAAGAGCUACGAGGAGGGUUUCAAGGAGAGAACAAAGGCUUAGUUCUAGAUACAUUGCACUUGACACACCUGGUGCAGGUCCAAGCAGUGAUGCUAAGCAGACAAGUGGGUGUCAGGCAAAGUUCAGGGAACGCACAGCUUUGAUUGAGGGUCACAAUGUUGUCCCCUACGUACUGCCUCCCAUUUCAUGUUGUAGCAACAACACCUGUGCUGUCGGCUUGUCCUUUUGCUCAUCCGAUGUACAACCUGGUGUCUGCCUUGACCACGGUCUUCAAUAAAAGUGACACUAAGCCAUUGGGGUCGUGACUUUGACAGCAUUGUCUUCGGGACCCCACUUGCCACAUUUUCCUGAACCAAAGCUCCCAAUAAACUGGACAUACUGAUCCCCUCGUGAGAAAAGCGGGUCGGGGGGCUUGUUUCUCUCUCUGUUCUCUUUGGAGGAGAUGGGAAUUUGGGCAGACUGCGUGGCACAGGCUUGAUGGAGCUAAUCCUCUUGUUUGAGCUUUUGAUGAUGAUCCAAGUCUUGUUAAUAUAAACUAUUGGAGGCACUGCACGUACUGAGGUUGGAUUAUAAAAAGGAGGAAUUUAAUUACUCGUAAUUAUAGAUAUUAAUUGAAACUUUACCAGGCUGGUAGUGAUGACCUAAUAAGCAUCUUAAGAGUGUGAAUAGGUGUGAGUGAUUGAACUGAAUAUUAGCUACACCUGGACAGCGGCAGGAUGGUUCCACUUUUACUGCAGUAAGUGGGUGUGUAAGGUUUUUUUCUUUCUUAUGAGGAUGCACACAUUUACCUGCCAAUAUAAUUUGAAUGUGAGGAUGGUUUGGACUACUGUUCAUAAACUGGGGAAAAUUUGCUGUUUGUAGUUAUUUGAUAGGUAAUAAUCUGCUUUCUCCCAUCUUUAAACAUUUUUGGGGGUUAGGUUGAUUGACUUAUUUAGCAGGAUUAAUGUGCGUGGGGGAAAACAAAGAAUAGCCAGGAAUGGCUAUGGGUGUUUUUUUUUUUUAAUAUAGAAAAAUAUUGUAGAAAUGAUGAGUAUAAAUUCCAAAGCAGAUGAUUUUCAACGUGGUGGUUCUGCCCAUCUGCAUUCUGGAGCCCACCAGUGACCCAAGCAUGAGAAGUGAACAGCAGGGGUAAAGGUUUAAAUAUCUCCUGAGUCAUUGUGGAGCAUGAUUAGGAAUCAAGGACCUGAGUUUGGCUCUGGUCUCUAGGACUAAUUAAUUCUUUUGCUGUUCCUAGGCAAAUAACUCGGUCGGUUUCUUAGUUUCCUUAUAUUUCAAUGGGUUAAAAAUCUGUGGUUGCCAUCAUGAAAUUUUCUCAAGUGUAAGGUGAAACUUGAGGCCCCAUUUUUGUGAUGCCAGAGGUACUGCUGAACUAAAAUUCUUCAGGAAGUUUUCUCCAAGUCCCAAAAAUUGAGAGUGGGGAGAAAGGGAACAUGGUCUGUCCUGCAGUCCAGCCGUGCACGGAGAACCAGGGAAUGUGAGGACAGUGAGAGAAACAUGAACUCUGAAUUGAUUGGGUUUGAUGUAAUAAUUCAAAUUGUUAACAAGUAACUUGUAUGUAACCUGAGUUGGAUCUGAACUGUAUGCAGCUUCAAUGCCUGAACAGAAGCUUUCGUUCUGCACGCUUGUCUCUCCUUUGCGGCGUUGUGUUGGAGCUAUGCAAGGGUGGAGAAGGAAUCCGGGAAUUUUCCAGUCCUGGUUGUGGUUACAACCAGAACCUGGGCCUGUUACAUGUGGCAGGUGAAGGGAUGGUUUAUGAAGCAGAAAUGCCUGCACCUCCACCAGCCCUAACUGUUAGCUGGGCCAGUUUGCCUGCUUCUGUGGGUCUACCUGGUCCAGGACCGCAGUCCAGACGGCUUCUACUCCGGCCAAAUUGAAUCCACAUGUGGUCCAGCCUUUGCGUCCCCAUCUGGGCCCACAGGUGUCAGUAAUGGAAGUGCCCUCACUCAGCUCCGUGAGCCUCUGUUUCCAUUACUCAAGUCUUGCAGCACGACUUGUUUCCCACGUGUCCACCAUCUUGGGAGCCUGAAACCCUCAGGCCUGCUUCCCUGGGGCCGUGCCUCUAAGGACGCCUGGAUCCCACUGGCUCCUCACAUCUAGACCUGUUCCCCAGUCCUGGUGUCCCUCGGACCCCUGCCUGUUGCUGGUCUCAGGUCUCCUUGACACCUUGCUCUCCUUGAGUUCUAUCACCUGCUUCUAGGGUCCUAGGGGUGGCCUUCGAUCACCAGAUCUGCGCAGUAUGAGGUUCUGGGCCUCCUGGACCAACUCAGUGGGAGCCGGGUUCUAAACUACCUCUGAGCAUGGAGCUCUUUAUUAAAGGUUUUCUCCCCUUCAGAGAAGCCCUUCUCUUUAGGCUCUCCUGUUUCAUGUGGGAAAGGGCUCAAAGCCCUUAGGCAUUGUGUGCAUGGCAGAGGGACCAAGAUCUUUGUGACGGAAAUAAAGCAAAUUGAAUGAACACUUUUCCCCUGAAGACCUCAAAGGAUCCAAAACAACCACCUAACUUUAAACAAUAGUGCAUUCUCAUCAAAAACUUAAUUACACUAGAAAGACACGAUUUGUAAUGACAAGGAACACCGGUCAAGGGUUUGGUAGACAGGGACAUGACAAGAGAAACUAGUUAAUAAUUCUGUAGCUACUAAGUUAGUCCCCACCCCCCACCCCCAAAAAUAAGAGGCAGAAGCAUGGCUUGAUGGUCCCCGGUUACGAAAUGAUCGAGCGAACUUUAACAUGGAAGUUAUGGUCUGCUCUGCUCACCUGAACGCAUUCUUUGAUGUUAAAAGGAUUACUUUUUGUUCCUUUGAAAGGGUGUGGUACACACGGAAUACAUUUCGAAGGGGGCUAUUUUGGGGUGAGCAUAAGUGGAGCCAUAUGUAGUUUGAAAAUCGGUGGAACUGUUUUGAGUGACGUGUGAAUGUACUGAUGAAGAAAUAUUUUUUUCCCCCAAGAUAAGUGGGUUAAAAAGAGAUAUAAAUAGAAUUUGAAAGAAAAACUCAGUUUUACUUCUGUCACAGCCAAAAUGAUAAGAAAACAUAUUUUGUGGAAAAGAUACAUAAAUGCAGAAUUUAGGAUGACAUAUUUAACUAAAUGAACUCAUUAGGAAGUUUUUUACUGCCCCCUGCUGUUAGUUUCUAAAAGAAAUAUAGUCAACUUCCUAUAAAAACUGACUCAAGGUGAAUUAGUUGAACAACCUGGUUUGCAAAAAAAAAAAAAAAAAAAAGAAAGAAAGAAAGAAAAAAAAAAUCCCUGCCUCUAGUUAAUUCCACCACAUUCCAGCCAGAAGGCUGAUGCUUAUUCACGUCUGUGAGUAAUGAUUCGUCAGCGCAAGGAACCAAUCCAGCCAAGUGUGUGCCCCUGGAGGUAGGGUAGGCAGUGAGGUUUGCUCUUUGUGAGAUGCUACAUUCAUAAGAAAGUACCAGUAUUGCAAUUUGUGGCCAGUGAUGUCUCCCUUAGCUUUCUGCUGGAUUUCUUGAUUUUGAAUUUAUUUUUUAUAUUUACAUAAUUUAGGGAAACACUCUUCAUUAAUAAAAGCAACACUUUCCAAAUACGUGAAUGAAUGGCUCAUUUUUCACAGUAUAAUCCACAGUAUCAUGCACUGUUAUUUCCAUUUUGGCAUAUGAAAUGAAGAAGUGAGAGGUCAAAGCAAGGUGACAGUCAGGAGGUGGAAGGCACUGUUGUGGUUUUUUCACAUAUUAUUUUAUUUAGUCAUAAAAUAGAAUGGGGUGGGUAUUACAACCCCCAUUUCACAGAUGAGUAAACUGAGUCACAGAGUAACCUGUUUAGGGACAUGUCUGGUAGAAGGUAGAGCUAUGGUGGGAAACCUCCUGCAGCCUGACCCCAAGGUCACUCCUCUUAACCUCUUUGCACAGAAUGUAGAGAUGCUGCAAUGACAGAGGAAGAAGGCACGAAAAUUGCAGGGGCUGUGGCGGUGUCAGCAUUUAGUGACCCCACUAACCGCACACCCUCAUCUGCCGUUUUUCUGCCGUCCACCUUCUUGUGGCCAGACAACAGGCUUGUCCAUGGCCAGCCUGGUGUCUCUGUAGGAAAGUUCUAUGGCACUAAGUGUGGUUCACUCGGUGUGGUGAGCAUGUUCCCCAGGGAGCCUGUGCCUCAGAUCAGACACACAGUGGGGCUGAGUUUGGGGUUGGCCCCCGCACACCCAUACCUGUGGACAACUUCCAGUCUCAGCCAUGCUUUCAACCAUCUCCAGCAACACACACUCUUCACAGUACAUGAAGACAUUAGUUGCGCAUCUUAAGUUUCUUGGCUGCUUUCGUUUUGGGGUCCCUUACGACAACCUGCUUGUGCUCUUGCCUUGCCUGCCCCGUCCUUGCUCCCCACCACCUCGCCCCCUAGUCCGCAACACUAGUCCAUGAAGACAGAUCCAUCUGCCAAGGACAACCAGCACAGCUAGCACUUGCUAUCCUGGCACGCCUUUGCCUUGCAGGCACUUGAAACCUCACUACCUUAGGCUCUAGAGAGCUAACUACACAGGAAAUGAAACAGCACAUAAGACAUUAACCUGCUUAAACGCAUUUGCCUCCUUACAUAGGUGGUGGAUUGAUCACGCCUGGAAUUAUUUUACAGAGACAGCACUUCUCAUCUGUAGGAGGGGAACCCACAUCUCCAGGAUGACCUGGAAUCAAGAAUCUUCAAUCCACGGAGCUCAAAUAAAAAUGCUGUCAUUGGUGCCAUUCCAAAUCAAGAAGCCCUUCAAGAGGGAAAACCUGGCUUCCAGCAGCCCGAGGAGCUUACAUGGAUGGAUGAGCAUGUCAGCCCUCAAGUCUGAAAUCCCCAUAACCCCGAAAUUCUGCCCUGAACCCUGGAUAGGGUGAUGGAUUUGAGCCAUGCUUCCUGUCUCCCUGCUGGUCAACAUCACAAUGAAGUGCUUUCUUGUCUCAAAAGCUGCUGCCAUAGUUUUGAUUGUCAUGCGCUUUGGGGAAUAAGACCUUGCUUGAUAACAUUUUGCGGCAACCAUGAAGAGACCCGGGUCUUGUGACCACCUGUCUGCAGCUCUACAAUCCCCCCGACCCCAGGAGUGGGGGUAUUGCCCUCAUCACUAACCCUGCAUGGCCACCUAGACUGAACAUGACCAGAGGGGGCUGCUGGGUUCCCGUCCCCAGCAGGGGCUCCAGGCUCCUUGUGCUGCUUUUGCUUUUGAAGAAAGUGCUCCUGGAUCAGAUGUCUUUUGGAUGACUAACAUCGUUAAAACACAAAUGUGCCUAAAUUGUCUAAUAACCUCCUCCCAAACCACGGGUUAAAGUCCCAGAGUCUUGGAUUUCUUUGUCCAUGUUGCUACAUGUCUCUUUUAUUCAUUAGGAUUGGCUAACGGGGGUAGGCUCUUGGAUGACUGUACCAAAGCUUUAUUACCUGAUUUAAUGAGGGUCCUCUGACUCAUUGCUCCCUAACUGGAAACCUUGCCUCACAGAAAGGUCAGGUUUUCUUCCCGUGAUGUGCAGUGGUUUCACAGGAGUCCACCCAGAAGAAUAUACUCUGUGCCUGGGUUAUAGAAAUUCCCACCAAGACACCGCCUUGGUCAUCCUGAGAGAGACCUUUCAAAUGGGGAAUGUUAAUAAUAUAUCUGAUUGUAGUACCUUCAUAUGUAAAUUUUGAAGAAUUUCAAAAUUGGUCAAGGUUUAACUAUGAGCCAAUGGAAAAGAAGAAAAUGAUUUUCUCUUAUAACACUGCUUGGCCCCAGUAUCAGCUGAAGUAAGGCAGAAUGACCAGAGAAUGGGUCUUUGAACUAUGAUACUAUUUCACAAACAGACAUGGGUUGUAAGAGAGAGGAAAAAAUGGGGUGAAAUCCCAUACAUGCAAUCAUUUAUAUCUUUAUAUCAGAAUAAGAAUUUGCAGAAGAGAUGUAAAAUUGUGGUUCAGAGGAAAGAACCCCAGAAAAAGCCUGUUUCACCCGAGUCACAGCCUAAAGAUGAUCCUAACCUACUAUGUCUAGCACCUACAUCAGCCCCUCUUGCAGCCUCCCCACUUCAUGAAGGGGUCUUCCUGUAGGCAGUAUAGAGGGUCCUACCAGCCGUACAGAACUGCUGGUCCAGCUCUGUACUACCCUUACCAGAUGGGCACAAAGGAACACUCUCUCCUCUCCAGACCCACCAGGAUGCUCAGCAUGGCCCAGGGAACAUUCUACCCCAAGCAGGGCAUUUCUGUUAAGGCAGCUCCCCUCCUUUAUCAGCCUUGGAUUUACGUAAUUAGAGAAAUAAUAUGCCAUCUUAUGGAGAUGAUCCUAAGAAAAUGGAGAAUCUCAUUACUCUGUUUUGCUUCUCAUCACCCUAACUGGGCUGACAUACAGGCCCUCACAAAUACCCUCCUCUGGAGGGAUGUUGGAUGGUGUUACAGAAGACCACUGGGAAGCUGAGAGGCUCCUGGCUCACAACCAAAUAAUCCAUUCAGGACUCUGGGGGCACAGGCCAUCCCUAGAGCUGACCCAGGAUGGGACUCCCAUGACCCAGGAGACUAAGCAAGGCUGAAUCAUCACGAGGAAUGUUUAAUAGCCAGGCUUCCAAAGGGACCCCAAGCCAAAGAGCUUGAGGAAGAAUCAGACGGUACAGCAAGGACCCCAGAGAACCCAUCCACUUCCCUUCAGGGUUUUUGAGGCUUACAGACAAUGCAUGGUGCCUGCUUGAAUGCCCUGUUCCCUUGCUGGGGUGACAUCUACUAACAGAGCUAAAUGCCCUCCAGAUGCCCUCUAAGUUGAACCAUUAGAACUGGAGACAAGCCUCACCCAGGAGCCCCUGCUGAAACUCCACAGAAGGUGAGAGCUGACAUGUGGGCUGACGAGAAGCCAGCAGAGCCAAGGCAGCUGACCCAGUGGUAGUAAAACUCCGUCCAGGGGCUGAGGCUCCAAGUUGAAAGCAACAGCCAUUAAAGAGGUAUUUGGAGGAAGGUAUAAAGCCUCUGACAAUCACCUUCUUAAAUGUCAACCAUUCCCACCUUGUCAAGGCCCAUGUAACAUCCCAUCCUGUCAGUACAGAAAACUCACGGCCAGAGAUGACUGUUAGUAUAGGAUUCGAGGACCAAUCACCAGAUUGUACAGGAUAUGUGUCUGGUGGUGCCAAACCCUUAUACUCUGGUUACAACUUUAUGUGGAGACUUCGGUGGGUUUGUAACUCUGGACUUAAAAGAUACCUUUUACUCCAUUCCCCUAAGUGCUAUGUCCCAGGAGUUUGCCUUAGAAUGGGAUGCUCCAGAGACGGAUGGAAAACACAAUGUGGCUGGAUAGUACUCCCGCUAGGAUUUAAGACUGCCCCCCGCCCCCAAUCUUCAGAGAAGAUCUAGGACUUGAUCGCUGAUGAGGGAGUCUCACCCCAACAUGUGGAUGGUAUACUAACUGCCAACAAGAAAGCUUAAGACCAAAAUGCAACCCCUGCUCUAGACAUUCUGCCAGCCUGGAGAUACAAGUUCUCCAAGGAAAAAGUGCCAAUUUCCUAACCAACUGCAAAAUAUUUAGGAUCUGAGUCAUCUAAAGGACAAAGAAACAUACUGCCAGAUGGAAGAGAAGCACUAGCCAGGGUGACUGUACCCACCACCAGAAGGCAGUUUUGAGGAUCCUUAGGAAUGGCUGAGUUGUCAUAAGUGGAUUCCUGGCUUUGGACUCAGAGUUGAACCCCUGUAAGAGGCUCCUAAAGGAAAUGGCACACGUCGUGGACCCCGGCUGCCAUAAUGUGCUCCACACCAUCAGGAGAAACUGAACCGCUCAGCACUUGGUUGCCCAGAUGUUUUUGUGCAUGAAAGACAGGGUGUUGAGUGUUGUAGACUAAUUCAGAGUUUAGGUGCCACCAGAAGGCCAGUAGCUUACAUUUCCAAACAACUGGGCAUGAGACUCAAGGGUGGCCAGUUUGCCUCUGUGGUGUUCCUACCACCGUGACCUUUUACAAGAGGCUGAAAAGUGCCCCCUGGGCCAGCCUCCCACUGUGCACACCAUACUUGAACAGAAGGGCAGGUGUCAGCUUACUUUGGGAGGCUGUGCAAAUACUUGAGGCACUGAAUGUAACGCGAAAGGUGGUGUCCAUUCUAAGCUCAACAUUCCUCCCCAAGAUGACAGGAGAGCCUGUUCACCCCUGUGUACAAACAGUUGAAGAGCAUGCGACCUGGCUGAUGAGCCUUGGAAGGAUCUGGAUGUGGAAGUGUUCAUAGGCUGGGCUGAGCAGAGGUAACUCACCAGGAAUCCCAGAAGCAGAAUGCCCCACCUCUGCCCGCCAGCAGAUCCGUCUUCCCAGAGGGCAGACCUCAUAGCUCCCACAGAGUCCCGCACUGUGCAGCUAAGGAAAAGGGGACCAUUUACACAGAUUCCAAGUUUGCCUUCUCUGUCAUUUGUGUGUAGGUGGCCAUAUGGAAAGGAGGUCUACUGGAUUCAGGAGGAAAACAAUCAGAGGGGGUCCUGGCCUUAUCAGACUCCGUUAGAAUGCUGGGAGAUACAGCCAUAGGACAUUGCCUGGGCCAUCAGAAGACUGAUAAUUACACAACUGAAGGGAAUCAUUUGGCUGAUCAGGCACCAAAGCAGGUGGCCAGAACUAAACGCCAGAUCCUAAGACCAACCACCUGUUCUGAGUGUGGACCUAUCCCUGGGUAAGCCUCAGCUUUGGAAAUGGAUUCUGAGAGAGCAGCCACGUGGGGGUUUCAUGGUGACUCUGGAGACCGAGGUGGUGAUCAGCACCAAACACCCCACAGGCUGGAUUUAAGAUGAGCAAGGACUAGUGCUCAUACCUGAGCACUUCAUGGAAAGAAUUAUCACUCAUCUACAUGGAGGGAGCAUCAUCAGGAGGAGGCAACCCAUCACUCACUGGCUACAGAAAUUUACUGUUGGUCCACAAAUGCAAAGGACCAGUCAAAGGAUAAAACAAAGUUGCCUGAUCUGUGCCAGAAACAUCCUAAAACCUGGCUACCCCCCAUACCAAAAGGGGUGCUGACCCGAGGGGCAGAACCAGGGGAUGACUGACAGAGAAGAUGCUCUUCUGCCAGGAGCUGGGGACAUGGUAGAUAUUUGCUGGUGUUCUUGACACCUUUGCAGAAGGGGCACAGGCUAGGCAGAGAAAGCUUCUGGGUGCAGGCUAGGCAGAGAAGGCUUCUGGGAUUUGCCUCUUUCAAGCCAAAGUGACGGUGGAGGCGCUUUAGCAGCCAAGGUGACUCCAGGAGGUCUGGGGCCCUUGGACCAGACACGAUGGAAGCUCAUGCUCCCUGGGGACCUCCUAUAACAGGGCAGGGCCCUCCCCCACAGGGUCUGCUCCAGCUCCUCCUGAAGCACCCAGAUGACAGUAUCUGAUGCACAUUCCUGAGUUGCUUCACAGAUGCUAAAAUCCCCACCAAAGGGAAGAUGUUAACUAGCUGAUGACCAGGAGCACAUAAAAUGUUAACCCCUGUGACAUAGCCCUGUGACCUUACCAUCAGCCAAUCAGAGGAUAGUGUGCAAGCCAGUCACUUACCCUGUGACCCCUCCCCCGUCUUUAAAAAUGCUAUACGAUUUUGUUCGGGGAGUUUGGGGUUUGUGGGACACAAACCACCAGUCUCCCUGCCUGGCUCUGCAAUAACCUGGCUCCAAACUGUAUUGUUUGGCCUCACUGUGUGUCCAGCCCACGCACUUGUAUUUAGUAACUCUCAGUCUACAGGGAAGGGGGAAAGGAUGAGUCACUCCUUUAAAAAGAUAGUAGCCAGAAUAGGCCAAGAAACCAACAUAACUUGGAUAAGGUUUUACCAACUGCCCCCACUGAGGGGCAGAGCAGCCCUGGAAGCAGCCCCAGUUAAGCACUUACUGUUCUGUGGGCAACCUUCCUUAAGACGGAGUACCUCUGUGUCUUGAAACUGUUCACAUGGCAACAAACAAACAAGAUAUGAUAAAAUGUGCACAACUCUUGGUGCCAUCUUAUCUUCUACACAGGUAUGUGCUUCUAGUCCCCUCACAUUUCUGGUGGAUGUCCCCCUGAGCUGCACAAGCUAGGGACCGGUGCUCCUUUGAACUUGGACAAACCAGCCACUUGAGGAUCAAUGUCACCCCAUGGGAUGUGGAAUGACCCUAUUGCGUCCUUCAGGUCACUUUCUCCAGUAAAGCUGAGUCACGCCUUGGGUAACCACUCCCAGGGAACUUAAAUCACAGGAAAACUUGUCAAAGGAAAAUAGGGCAGCUAAGACACCCCCUGGCCAGGAUGAGAAGGAAACAGACAUCUCGAAAGUAGACUGUUUCUGUCCAAUAGUUUGGACCAGGCCUACGUAAAUCCAAAUUCAAUCACCAAAAUGUUAAAAAACACCACGUUUUCAUGGAUCCCCAAAAGAUUACGGUCUGUUUUCAAAGGACUGUUAAAAUCUGGGAGUCACAGUUCCGUGCAUCUUACACUUAAUCCUUUUAUUCAUUCAAAUUCAUACUUACUACCUCACCAUUCAUAUGCUGAUUGCUCAGACUUAGGAGUUCAAGGUGGAUCUCCGGAAUUUUUACAAAUAACUGCACAAUAAUUUCAUUUCCCUUAUAAAAACCUAGGCCCUCAUCAGCAAGAAGCAGAUAGACCAGGCUUUACCCCAAGACGGAGGACCUGACAAAGUGAAGCACGUAGGACAUCUACCAGCUGAAGCUGAUUUGCCACCAGAGAUUGCGUAAGCCGGGAAUUACUUUACCCAGGGCCCUGCACAUGCGCAAGGCGGGAACCGCGCCUCCAGGAUGACACUAACCGAGCAUCCUCAGUCCACCGACUGCCAAAAACAGAAACGCUGCCACCUGAGCCCUUCUGCAGGCGGGGAUCCUUCAAUGAGGGAAACCUGACCUCCAGCAGCCUGAGGCGCUUACAAGAGCUGAUGAGCAAGGCAGCUUCCAAUCUUGAAGUUCCCUAAACCCUUAAAUUCCACCCUGAUCCUGGGAUCCCAGACGGACUUGAGCCGUCCCUCUCCUCUCCUUGCUGGCCGACCUGGCAAUAAAGUGCUUUCUUGUCUCAAAAGUCAUGGCCACAAUAUUGGCUCCCAUGUGUUUCAGGCAGCCCGCCCUUGCUCGGUAACAGAAUCUUCUUUCACAGGCACGUAAGACCAAAAACCCACGCCAAUCAUCUGCUCGGUAACAAAAGACUCUUACCUGACCCGAGGAGCUGGGGUUCCGGUGACUCUGCAUUCCAGCCGAGAGCCCAGGAAAGAAGUCCGCGGUGUCGCCGUCGUCCUGCACAUCCGACAGGGAGUCGUAGAAGGAGUCGUGGGAGGAAGUCUCAGACAUGGUGGGGCCGCACUCGUGCACUCUGUCCACUUCCCACCGGAGGCCAGG